CACAGACCCAGAAUCACUGAUAAGCUUUGAGGAGGCUUAUCAACCUAGUCCAAAUUCAGUAUUGGAACCAUUUUACAAUAAGGAUAUUUCAUCCAGCUCUGACUGUUUUAAGAGUGUGAAUGUUUCUUUACAUGAAGGAUCCAACAUGAUGGUGUCUAGCGAUGAAGAUAAUGGGGAAGGAUCUGUAAAUGAUUCUGAAGAAAAUGAAGGCCUGAUGAGACCAUUCAGAGUUGAAGAGAGUAGGGAUUUCUCCUAUCUCAUUGAUGUAUUAACCGAGGCAGGUUUUCACAACAG
rnacentral:misc_RNA from 1 species